rnacentral:lncRNA from 1 species
GUGGGCUGGAGGCCGAAGGUGAUAGUGCUGGAGACUUAGCUUUGGUCUUGCUAGGGGCCGGAGCUGGAACCGUGGCAGGAGGAGAAGCCAAAGGAGCUGGUGGUGGGGUAGCUGGAGGAGGAGUAGCAGGAGGGGGAGAAGCAGGUGGUGGGGUAGCCGGAGGUGGAGAAGCCGGUGGGGGAGUUGCGGGAGGUGGAGUAGCCGGGGGAGGAGAAGCUGGUGGUGGGGAGCUAACGGGCGGGGGAGUCGCUGGAGGAGGAGUGGAAACUGGUGGUGGUGAUGAAGUAGGAGGAGGAGAGGAAGCUGGUGGCGGAGAAGUAGUUGUGGGUGUUGGAGGUGGUUGAGUAGUAGGUGGAGGUGUGGAAGCGGGUGGAGUCGGCGGCGCCGGCGUGGAUGUCGGAGGAUUACUAGGAGUAGGAGGAGCUUGGCCUAAAACGCCAGCUACAGCAAUGCAAAACAAAGCUGAUAAGAACAAAAACUUAUUAUUAAGCAUCAUAUUGGAAACAAUGGUGACCCUUUAAUCCUGCACACCCUCUCCGCUUAAACUACGCCCAGCCGUGCAAGCAAAUGAGGGAGAAGAAGAGGCAAGUAUGAGAAAUGAAAAGAUGGUGAUAUUUAUAUAUAGGAUAUGGAAAUUUCCAUAUCAUAUUUCAAUUUAAAAUCCCCAAAACAAAUACCAGCAUUUUUAUUUUAUUACUAAUGGGAAAAUUGCAUUACUAAUCAUAUACAAUAUUCUAUAUUAAUUUAGUGUAAUUUAAUUCUUUCAUUUUUUUAUAAUGUUAUUAAUAGGUCCAAAAUCAAUAUCUCCGAUCGUUAGUUGCUGUCAUUAAAGUGAUGAUACGAAAUUAUUUUUUUUACUAUUAUUCCAUCAUACAAUCAGAGAUAUAGAAAUCAAUCAAUUUUGUUAAACAAAUAAUAAAUUUCAAUCUGAGUCAAAUGCUUAAAGUUGUUAAAAAAAAUUCACGUCAUCACUUUAACAACAUCAACUAAUAGCGUUAUCAAUUUGUACUUUGUAGCUACCAAUAACAUUAUAAAAAUAAAGGGUCAAAUUAUAUAGAAGUAAAGGAUUAAAUCUCUAAUUUCAAUUUAGUAAAGGGACUAAAAUGGAAUUAAACCUAUUAGUGGGGGUCGGAGUUUUUUCCUCGUUUGGUGAGGUAAAAAAAAAAAAAAACCCUAGUGGGGCAUAGUUAUAAUGUCACUUUGAUGAUUAUAAAUGAUGCGUUAGUUAGUCAUACUUUAGGUAAAAAACUGUGAGGUGGGAUUAGUGUAGAUUGAAAAUUUUUAGUGAAGGGGUUAAUUUAUACCUUCAAAAUUUUGCAAUAUUUGGUAGUUCCAUGAAAUAUUCCCCGCUAUUUAUCAACUUUUCAAUCACUCAAAUAGGUUUUAAUUUAGUUUUGUUGUGAAAUUUCUAAUUCAAGCAUACAAUGAGUAGAUUUUAUUAUGGGUCGGGUCGGGUUAUUAUAAAAUUUUAGGUGUAACGUCCCGAAUUUUUGGGCCUAGAAGUUAAAAGAUUUAAGCAUAGGGGCAGUAAGGAGGCCACACAUAAGUGAUUAGUUGUGCACUAUAGUGAUAAGAAUGGGCUUAUUAGUCUAGUGGUUAAAUGGAGUGUUAAUUAAGUUCAAGGUUUUUGGUUUGAGUCACUAUGUGUACAUUUUGGGAGUCUUUUUAUUUUGUUUUUUUUUAGUUAGUGAUAAUAAUUAAUUAUUUUAUUUUAUUUUUAUUAUUUUUCUUUUCUUUUCCACGUUAGUUCUCUCUACUUCUUGGUUUUUUUUUCUUUUUGUUCUUUUUCCUUGGACUUUCAAUUUGUGCAUUCUCUAUGUUUUUGAAUCGUUUGCUUACAGAUUUCGAAUUGUCGCACCUCUAUCGUCUUCUUCGUCGUUCAAUCAGGUGAGGGAUUCAAACUUUAACUACAUUGUUUAAUUUUGCAAAGUUUACGUGCGGCUUUUCUUGAAUAUGUGAUAACCCGAAGGUUUUUGGGUUUUGAUCGUUGGAAGUGAGGAAAAUACGUUAUAUUGUGAUAUGUUCUUGAUGUGGUUAAGGUUAGGGACAGUUUGGGUGGCUAAAACGGUGUUUUCGGGGCUAAUUUGGGGUGGUUUCAUGACCUCUCCGGCAGCUACACGGGCGUGUGCCGUGGUAGACAGUCAUAUGGAUUUGGGAACUAGGGUUUCCAGGCCAAAUUGGAUGCCACACGGCCGUGUGGCCGAUUUGGGGAUUUUGUCGAAAUUCACACGGCUGUGUCCCCUAGGCACAUGGGCAUGUGGGUUUGGAAUUAGGGUUUCAGAGAUUUGAAGUCACACAGCCUGGCCAUACGGCUGUGUGGCUGAUUUUGGGAUUUAGGGAUCCCACACGAGUGUGUGUUUCGUAACACACAACCAUGUCUAGUUGGCACACGGGCAUGUGAGACCCUCACAUAGCCGUGUCUGCCCUGCACCUUAUUUUAGCGAAAUUGGACAGUGAGUUACACAGCCUGUUCACACAGUCGUGUCUCUGCUUCGCACGGGCGUGUGCCUAUGUCACAUGGCCGUGUGCUAUCCUUCACAAGGGCGUUUGAAGCCUCACACGAUCUGGAUUGCUCUACACGGCUGAAGCAUACGGGUGUGUAGCCCUAUCUCGCCAAAUAAUGAUUUUAGGUCAAAUUUAAGUGCAAUCGUGACUCUAUGUAUUCCAACCCUCGACUGAGCUCUAGUGAGGGUAUUUACGACGCUGAUCUGAGUUUGGAUAAUGUGUUAAUUGUGAUUGGUUAUGUGACAUGUUUGAUUCUGAACCCGGGUUAGCUGGGUGAGUGUGUAUGCAACUAGUUCUGUCUGACUGUUUGAAUACGUGUCAUUGAUAUGCGAGCUUAUUUUGCAAUUGCUACUGAAUUCAAGUUACGAGUAUACUUAAGACUAAUUUUGUAACUAACUGAUUGGAUGUGAGCGUCUACUUCUGAAUAAUUGUUUGAGACUAGUAUUCUGAUUGUGUACAUCUGACUGCAUACAUACAUACAUAUGCAUAAACUAUUUUGGGCGGGAUUUUUGAAGAGAAGGUGUUGUAGGCCAAUUUUGGGCCCGUUUACACUUUAGGCCGAACAUACAUCAAACCCAUUUACAAUUAAACCCCAGCAUAACCCACAACCCAAACCCAACAAAUAAACCCAAAACCAAACCCAAAUUUAACCCAAUUCAAAUCCCAUAGACCCAAACCCACAUGUAAGCCCAAGUUGUUAGACCCAACUAGCUUGAUUUAGGGUUUCAAAAAAACUGAAACCCUAACCUACCCCCAGCGCCGCCAACGUCACAUCGCCCAUGCCAGUCCACUUGCACUACCUUUGCUCCACUGUUCAACCACCACCUGCAAAACAAAAGAGCACGCAACAGCAGCGCAAAAAUAGGAAAUAGACAGUGUAUGAACAACAAAAUCGGCUAUAAAGCCGAAUGGAAACCAAUGUAAUAGAAAAUAUUUUCGGUUAUUUUCUUCAUCAAUACAAAAAAAUAGAUUUAAACAUAUACAAGCAAUAAUUCGGGGAAAAUCAAAACACUAGAAUAACACCAAUUGGGCAACCAAAACAUCAAUAUCAAAAGCCUAAGGUGAUUUAAAUCUUUUUAUUUUUAUUUAUUUUUGAAUCAUACAUACCUAUGUAUUUUCAUAAAUAGUAUAAUAAAAAGGAAAAUAAAAGAAUAAAAAAAAGAUAGGAAAUUUUUACCUUUUCCGGCCACCGUGCGACGGUGGCACACGGCGGUCCGGCAACCAGACGUGGACGGCGACCGGCCUUGUGGCCGGAAUUCGCCUCUCCUUCUCCCCUCUCUCUUUUUUUUCUUUGCUAUGCAGAAAAUGAAUUUUUUUUGAAGAUUUUGGCCUUUUUAUAGCUUCCUAAAACGACGUCGUUUUGGGGGUUGCCCUUUAACCUCAAAACGACGUCGUUUUGCCCUGGAUCAGGUCGACCCGACCCUACCCACUCAGGAUCUGAGUGUUUUUGCUCUUAGGGGCUAAUUGCGCACGCGGUCCUUCCGCUUUUUCUAUGUUUUUCAAUCAGGUUUUUUAUGUAUUUUAAUUUGGCCCUAUAAUUAGUUGCGCUUUCCAAUUUGGUCCUCAAUGCUAUUGCGCAUUUUGGGUGGAGAGGCUUAUUUCGUUUUAAGUCCCUCCACUAUUUGUGCGCGUUGAAAUAGGUCCCCUUCCCUUCUUUUUAUUUCAGUUUUUGCCCCAAGCCUUUUAUUUUUAAUUCGAUUCGAUCCUUUUUUUAAUUACUUUAUUAUUAAAAUUAAUUAUUUUAGUAUUAUUGUUAUUAGCACUAUUCAUGUACAUAUAUAUUAUCAUUAUUGUUACUAUUACUAUUAUUAAUCUUCAUAUUAUUACUAUUAUUUCUUUAUUUUUAUAUUAUAUUAUAUUAUAUUAUUAGUUUUUACUAUUAUUAGUAUUAGUUUUAGCUUCAAUUAAUAUUUUUAACAUGCAUAUUUAUAUACUUUUAUGUAACAUUAUUAAUAAUUAUUUUUUAAAAUAUUAUUAUUAUUUUUUAAUACAUGCAUAUAUAUUAUGUGUAUAUUCUUUUAAUAGACAUUAUGUAUAUAUAAUUUUAUAUAUUAUUUUUAACUUUACAUUAUGUAUAUAUUGUUAAUAUCAUAUUAUUCAUAUAUUCUAUUAUAUUAUAUAACUAUAUUAUGUAUGUAUUUUUAACACUAUAUUACGUACAUACUUUCAAUAUCAUUAUUAUUAUGUAUAUAUAUUUUUAAUAUAUAUAUGUGUAUAUUUAUGUAGUAUUAUUAAUAGUUGUUUUUAAUAUUAUGAUUAUUUCUAGUAUAUAUAUAUUAUGUAUAUACUUCUAAUACUAUAUAUUGUAUAUUUCUAAUACCAUUAUUAUUUAUAUGUGUAUAUGUGUAUGUAUUUAUGUAUCGUAUUAUAGUUGUUGUUUUUUUUGUAUCAUUAUUGUUGCUAAUAUAUAUAUAUCAUGUAUAUAUGAUUUUUUUUAUAUAUAUUAUGUAUAUAUCUUUAAUAUUAUAUUAUUUAUAUAUUUAUGCUUACAUAUUAUCUUACGUAUAUAUUUUUAAUAACUAUAUUAUGUAUAUACUAUUACUAUAUAUCUAUUUAUGUUGCAUUAUCAAUGGUUGUUUUUACUAUUAUUAUUAUUCUUAAUAUAUAUAUUAUGUAUACAUUUUUAAAUACUAUAUUAUAUACAUAUAUUUUUAAUACCAUAUAUGUACAUAUCAUUAUUAUAUCUAUUUUUACCCCUAUUACAUUUGUUAUUAAUAUUAGUAUAUAUUUUAUUAUACGUGUAUAUAUAUACUUUUUAAUAUAGUAUUAUUUUUAUAUAUCAUUAUAUUUAUUAUUAUACUUAUUAUUUUCGCUAUUGUUACUUAUUAUUUUAUUUUAAUAUUAUUGUGUAUUAUUUGGUAUACAUAUAUCUUUUUGUACAUAUUGUUAUUUUUUAUUAUACGUAUAUUAGUUUAUUAUGGUAUUAAUACAUUUUUACCUUUUUCUUUUAUUGUAAAUAUUAUUUAUUAUUACUCUAAUAUCCUAAUAUUAUAUUAUAAUACUUUUUAUUAAUCAUCUCAUUAUUUUGCAUCGUUUAUUUACUUAUGAAUUUUUGUUAACAUCAUCAGUUUUUUUUUAUCAUUAUUUUAGAAACAUUUUUAUUUUAAUAAAUAAUGCAACGUACCGAUUUUAACAUUAAGUUUGUGAUUUCAUCGCUAUGUUGGGUGAAUCACGUUGGCUCGUGUUAAAAACGGGACAUCCUUCAAAAAAACCAAAAACUUGAAAUUUCUCGUGUCUUGGUCGGAUCAUGAUUAAAUAUUAAAUUAAACUUGUAUUUUUGAAAAUUAAGACAACGCGUAAUUAACAAGAUACUAAUUUUGGGCGUCGUGAGGGUGCUAAUACCUUCCUCGCGUGUAACCGACUCCCGAACUCUAUUUUCCUCUGGAUUUUCACGUAGACCCAAAUUCGGCCUUCAUUUUUGUUCAAGAAUAAAUUUUCUUUUCUAAAAAGAAGAUUUAUUAGGUGUCUGAUCACACCUAGAAAAAAGAUCGGUGGCGACUCCUUUUCUUUUUAAAACCGAAAUUCCAUUUUCAAAUAAUCGCCUCAACUAGCGACCGGAAAGUGAAAUUUUUACGUUGCUACAGAAGGAAGAUUGACUGAACUGAACUGAUAGCUAAUAUGUUGCCCCUAAUACCCAGAGGGUCAUGGGCGGUCCCAAUACCCUGAGGAUCGUGGUUAAUUUGACUGUACUGCGGACUAUCGCACUGUACUGUACAGAACAUACAUCAGCACCGCUGCUAUCAUUGACUAAACUGGCAAUUUUACUGCAACCUAACGAUAUAGCGGUCUACCGCAUUGCAUUGUACCGCAUGUACGUUAGCUACGCUACGUACUAUUAUCUGAUCUGGCAGUUCAUACUGCAUGUCUGUACCGCGGUUCACCGCAUUGCACAGUACAACCUAUACGCUGGCUUUCCUACGUAAUUUACGUGACUAGCAGUUUAUCUGCAUACUGUUAGCCCAAAUUCCCAGAGGGUCGAUGGCAAUCCCAAUACCCUGAGGGUCAUGGACAAUGCUGAUGAUCAUCGUUGUCGGGUAACCCGGGAUGACAUCAUAUGGGGUGUAGGGUUGGAUGGGCUUUGCGAGGUCCUGUAUGGAGUGUUUGGUGGGACAAGCUUAAAGCUUUUAUGAGAAGUGAUGGGGGACGGAGAGGUGUGUUGGCUGGAUAGGUGGAUAUUUUUAGAACUCAUUUGUACUCAUAUGUAUCUGAUUGAUCUGUUUAACUGAAUUGGAACUUGUGAAUGGUUGAGAAUUAUUGCUACUGUGACUGAAUGUGAUACUGUUCGAUUGAGAGGCACUUGUGCCUAUGUGAAUUUUGUAGAUUCUGAUUGCGACUGUCUGACUGGAUUCUUACUGUGACUGAUUAAGAUUUGUUGCUACUCUGUCUGAGUGGUACUUGUGGCUGAGUGUAUCUAACUGAUUGAGUUAAAACUAGUGGCAGAAUAGCACUAUGUUUGUGUAGCUGAGUGUAAUUUUUAAUAUGCAUUAACAAAUAUCUGUCUGUCGGUACGUCCGUUUCGAACGUACCCUUUGGUUCUGAAUAGCUCUGUAAGUAUGUUUUAUUUCUGAACUGCUUUUAGUUCCCUGUUUCUGUCUCUGUAGUUUAACUGGUUUGAUCUCAAACUGAGCUCGAGUAGCUCACCCCCUCUUUCGUUUCCCUUUUCAGGUACAAUUCUGGAUUAUGUUGAUGGACUUGGCACGCGAAGGUCUCAGACAGUCUCGCAAACAAAUAAAUUAUCAGUUUUGUUUUCCGUUACGAUUUUGUUAUUUGGUUAACUUUGAACUGUAAGGCUUUAUAAUACUGUGGUACAGUUUCCAUUUUAGAUUUUCAUGCAUACGUUUAUUUUGGGUUUUAUAUUGAGUCUUACUGUAAAUUUUAUUGACUGAUUAUUAAAUGGUUUUAAACACUUUUGGUUCACUGAGAUGAGUUAUUUUGUAAAAUUUUCCUACGAUCACUUCGGUGAUCAAUGUAGCAUUCCGAAUUCGGUCUAGACUUUUAGGCCGAGUUUGAGGUGUUACAUUAGGUUUAUUUUUUAGGUUCUAAUUUGACUCGAAAAAUAGGUCUAAAAUUUUAACUAAACCCAGUUUAGAUAAAAAUAUUAAACCCAAGUCCAAACGUAUUAAACUUUUUAUAUUAUUAUUUAUAAAAAAACAAAUUUAAAAAAUAUAAUACAUCAAAUACACUAAAAAUAUUAAAAUAGAUGUUUCCUAAUAAAUUGAAAAUACAUUAAAAAAGUUUUUAUACUUAACAAGCAAAUGCCUUUAAAAUAGUAGCAAAAUUAACAAGCCCAUGAUUAGGUCUAAUGAUGAGUUCUUUUGUUAGUAAUGUUUAUUUUGGUAUUUGAGUUUUUUCUGUCUUAAUUUGGUACUUAAUUUUGACUUUAAUUUUUUUCCAAUUAAGCACUUAAGUUUGGCUUCAAUGUUCAAUUUGGUACCUAAUUUUUUUUGUCCAAAUUAAUUACCUAUAUAUUUUUUACCAAAGCAUGUGUGUCAAACAUUUAUUGGAUCAUAUGAUGACAUUUGGCUUAGGUAUCAAAUUGAAUAUCAAAUUCAAACCUAAGUACUAAAUUGAAACAAAAAACACAAAUACUAACUUAAGUAUUAAAGCUAAACUCAAGUAUCAAAUUGUAUAUUAAUCAUUGGUAAACAAAAUUUCAAGGAUUAGCAUCUACUAAGCUUUCAUUUUCCCUUUUGCAUGUUACAAUUGAUAUUUGUUUAACGCAUAAACUUGGUAUCUUUUUUCCCGUAAUGAUCCAUUUUCAACAAUUUUUGUACACCUAUAUUAAAAUCUGAAAUAAUUUGGUUAUCUUCAACAUACAUAAAGCUGUUAUAUUAAAGUUUAUUUAUAGUUGAGAUUUUUAAAGGAUUUUUAUAAGAUAUUUUUUACACAUUCUUUCCAUGACAUUAAGGAGUAGGGAAGAAAACGUGGUAGUGUUAAAAGGAUCAGUUCAUCUAAACAAGCGGAAAGUCAAAAUAAGAAACAAAUUAAGGAGGAGUAGGGGACUCACACAUCCAUAACAUAUGCAUAUGUUAAUAUUAAAAAUUUACACAACGCAAUUGUAAAUGGUGAGACUUGGACUUCGAUACUUAAAGACCCAAGAUAUCGCCUUAACCAAUAAUGUCAACAAGAUCUCAUUAACUUUUUAGGAAUUUUCUUAACUUCACAUAUAGGGAUUAAAAAAUUACGAUAUAACUCAAUAUAAUAUUAAAGAGUAAAAGUUAAUCAAAAUUUACAUAUAUCACUCAUUUAAUCAUAUGUGUACAGAUAAAAGGAAGCCACUCAUCCUCUUGCCAACCCUACGUGUAACAUAAUUCACUAUAAAUUCCACCUACAUAUACAUACAUACAUAAAUAUAAAAGAGAAUUUCAUGGUCUUGGACUAGAUUGGCUACAAAAUUUGACAAACGGCAUGUGUAGGAGGAUUAAAUUCGAUGAAUUGCAUGAGAGUUUCUCCUUUUUGAUAAUUUAGUACAUGAGAGAAUAAUGAUGAUUGUGGGGGGGGGGGGGUGCUCCAUCGAAAUAGCUGGAAUUUAUUUAUUUUAGUGAACUGGCAAAUGUAAUUUGUACGCCAAGUUAUAAGGUGAAAAAGGGAGAAAUCAUAUAGAUUUGGUUGGUAAUGGUAUGUUGAUGUUGGAACACCUGCGGUGCACCGCCACAAUUAGUAGGCCCCUAGCCCCGCUGUCACCCCAUCAUAUGUGCUUUUGGAUGGAUCCAACAUUUUCGUGUUCUUUCAUUCUUCAACAUCAUCAUUAUUAAUUAGUUACUCUUCAAUUUCUAUAUGUAAUUUGCUUUCUUUUCAUUCAUAGGUUUUCUGUUUUCUGUCUUUGAUUUUGUCUUGUGCACAACUGAUGUCCUCCAUUUUUUUCCCCUUUUGUAGAAUUGGGUUUGUCACUUUAAUAGUGCCCGAAAUUAUUUUAUGGAUUUUUUUCAUCAUAUCAUUUAUAAUCUAUUUUUAGUUAUUUAAUGAUAUUUUAGUAAUUUUUUUAUGUUAUUGACACAUAAUUUUACUAAUUUUUUUACCCAGAACCCUCAAUCUUGAGUUUAGAAUCUUGAACCCCGAACCUUGAACCCUAAACUCAAACAUUAAACUCCAAACCUAAACCUUAAAUCUUGAAACCCUCAAGGUUUAGGUUUGAGGUUUAAGUUCAAAUUCAAGUUUGUAGUUCAGGGUUCGAGGUUUGAAAUUUAAGGUUCGGGUUCAGGGUCAGAGUUCAACAUUCAGGAUUCUAGGUUUGGGGUUUAAGAUAAAAAAAAAUUACCAAAAUUAUAUGUCAAUGACAUGAAAAAAAAAUUACUGAAAUGUCAUUAAAUAAUUAGAAAGGGACCAUGGAUGAUGUGGUGGGAAUGGUCCAAAAAUAAUUUCUCAUUUGUAUGGGAUAUUAUUCAUUAUCUAUUAUAAUUUGAUAUCUCUAUUUUUAUAAUAUUAUUAGGGGAAAGGAUUGUAUGAAACAGUGACGCCAUGUCAUCUGUAUCCCUUUCCAAUAAUUUUAUGCCAUAUCAUUACUUUUAUCCUCAAUUUCAGGAUUUUAUCCUGAAAAAAAUCAAAUCCAAAUUAAAAUCCUGAAAUUCAGGAUAAGAAUAUUGAUGUGGCAUAAAACUAUUGGAAAGGGAUACAGAUGACGUGGCGUCACUGUUUCAUACAAUCCUUUCUCUGUCCAAAUUUAUAACAAUGUUGAUUGCUUCACUAAAAUGAGAAGGUCCAAAAGAGUUAGAAGAUGUUAUUGAGAUUAAUAAAGGAGUAAUUUAUUUCGAGAUAGAUUAAUAUAAUUUAUUUGUGUUUUUUAUUUAAAAAAAAAAGUAAAAGGACGUAGUAAAGGAAUUUUCAUGCAUCAAUAAUUUAUUAUUUAAACUAUGAAAUUUCAAAAAAGAAGAAAUUCAUGUUGAAAUUGAUACUAUCAAGCAAUUUAAAAGUGUAAAAAUUUCAGUAUCAGCUGGAUAUUUAAUGUCAAAUAAACUAAAGAAAUGAGAAACACAAGCCAAUUGUCCACAAUGAUUAACUUGUUCCUAAAAAGAAAGUUGUACAUAGACUUUGCUUAUAAAUCAAUCCAAUUUUUUUUUAUAUAAAAGGAAACAUAUUACAUACUUAUAUUGAGUUAUUUGUACCACAACCCACUUAAAUUAUGAUUUUAAUUUUCGAUUGAGUCUUAGUUCAAUUGAUAUUGGCAUUAUUAUCUGUGGAGGAGUGGAUUCAAGUGCGCUGAAACGCAUUAUCCUUCUAUUUAAAUGUUGGGAAGGAACUAUAGAUUCGAAAGCAGAUAUGAUAAGAACCUAUAAUAAAAUUAAUGUAAUGCCUCCUUUUUCCUUUAAAUCCUACUUAAAACACACUUACUUAUUAUUUGCUAAAAUAUUGACAAAUCUAUAAUUUGAAUUCGAACAUUUAUAAUUCAAUCUUGGUCCCUUUAAUACAAAAAAUGUUGGCUUCACCCUUGAUCAAUUUAGUCAUCAAGUUUUUUUUUUUUAACAUAAAUUUCAAUAUAGAUUCUUAUCAUAUUAGCUCUUUUUGAUACAAUGCUUAUAACUAUCCAUAGCCCUUCCCCAAUCAUUAAAUAGUAGGAUAAUACACUUUAACGUAUUCGAAUCCACAUCCUCUUCUACUGACAACAAUGUCAAUCAAUACAAUUUUAAAUACGAGUGUACUACUUAGAUAAUCAUAUCCAAGGUACACAUACUUUUAAAAUUUGAUCCACACACUUUAAAUAUACCCCACCUCUGAUCUAAUCUAGCAUUUAUCACCUAAGCUGACGGUUAGAGGAACAAAAGAACUUGAUUGAUAUAAUAUCAAUAUUUUAUAGACUCAAUCGUACCAUAAUUAUGGACGUUUUCGCUGAGUUAACUCUAUAUCUAAAUAAGUCAUGGUAAACAUUCAAUAUUAAAAAAGAUAAAGGGAAAGUAUAAUAACCCAAAACACCAAAUUUUGGUUGGUUUAAUUUGCAGCUUUAACCAAUGCUUUUGCAUGAUCCAUCAAUUAGUGAGGAUUUUGAUCUUAAUUGGAGGGUCCCAUUCGGUUAUUAAGCUCUUUUUCCACCCUCAUGAUUGCCAUAACAUGGGCCCUUACCGUUUUACUUUGGAUACCCUUUUAUCUUUGCUUUGCUUUGCUUUGAUUUAAGGUUUUAUACAUAAAUGGUCACUUAAACUAUACCUCAAUUUUUAGAUUUGUCCUUAAAGUUUUUUUUUUAUCAAGAGUGGCCCCCACACUAUCAAAUUUAUCUCAUUUUACCCAAAAAGCGUACAAUAUCCAAUAAAAAUAUUUAAAAUGUGACGCGUGUCACAUUCUUAUUGGUUAAUAUCAUUUUUUGAAUAAACAAAAAUAAAAUUAACAGUUUAGCGAUCACUUUGACCAAAUAAAAAAGUUUUAAGGACUACUUUAGGAAUUUAGAUAUAACUUAAGAGUUAUUUUAUUAAUAAAGCUUUGAUUUAUUCAUCAAUUAACACUGAAAGAGUUUUCCUUAAUUUACUCAAAUGGUCUUUUUGUUUGUAUCACCUAACAUUUUGAAGAACAUCCUUUCUCUGUGUACCUCAUACAAUUCGUUAAUACGAAAAUUUUAUGAUUUUUUUAAAAAUAAAUUUAAUUGUCACGUUGCAGGUUACAAAUACUUUUAAAUAAGGGCUUUUUUCAUACAAGAAUACCAAUUAAAAAAUAUCUUCAAAGGUAUAUCAGUUAUACUCAGAUCAAAAUGUUUAAACUUAAUUUAUCUAAUUUCUUCGGCAGGGACCUAACCCAAAAUUGGUAAAAUUAAAAUUAGAUCUUUAUAAUUUUGAAGCAUUAAAAUUGAAUUUUUUUUAAAUUGUAAAAUUAUAAAUUUAGCCCCUAAAAAAAUUAUAAUUCAACUUCAGCCUCUAAAAUUUUUUCCUCUAACUUCAUCUCCCCAUAAUUCAAUAUAUUUAAAAAAAUUUGUGACUGACAUUACCAACAAAAAAUAUAUUUAUAAUUAGUAUUUAAUAUACAAUUAAUGAAAUGUUUUAAUUCUAUAAGCAAUGUUCAAAAUUUUCAUAUAUCUCAAUUUUUAAUAUUUUUUUUAUUAAAUCAUGAAUGAAAUAUAUAUUACCUUUCAGAUUUUACUUGUAGAGUCUAAUAACUAUAUGACGCAUUAAAUCAUUAUACAUAUAUAAGGUCAAGUGGUCCAUAGGUAGCUUAGAGUACAAGGGAUUAAGUUGAGGGUCUCUUAUCAUUUUCCCCAAAUGUGAAGUGAUGUUAACUGCUUAGCUUUCUCCUCUUGCCCCAUUCAUUUUCCUUCCUUUCCACAAUAUAUAUUGUAUAAGUAUUUAUGGGUAAUCGAUUGAGUAUUUACUCGAUUAAUAUGAGUAUUAAUGUCAAUAGAGGAGGACGUAGAUUUGGCGCAUUAUUCUUCUAAUCAUGGGUUGAGAGGCUAUGAGUAGUUUUAAAUAUUAUGUCCAAAAAAAACAGAUAUGAUUAGAACCUAUAAUAAGAUUAUUUAAAAAAAUAUUUAUGGGUAAUCAGUUUAUACAAUUUCGAUUAAAUGUAUAAAUCCAAUCAUUAAUCAUUAAAUUGUUUUACUUUAUGCCAUAGUAUUGUUUUAACUGCAUAAGCAUGUGGGUUAAUGAAAACUACUUAUAGUAUCUCAAUUAAAUGUAAUCAACAACCUCAACUCAUAUCUCCCAUCUCUCUCACUCUCAAUUAUAUAACCUAUUAAUAAUUAACAUUAAUAACCCACUUUCAAGUAGAUCUCAGGCUACCUGCCAUGCCAAGCCUAAAGCUUAUAAGAUGCUUGAAAAGGUUUGCACAAAUAUACAAGAAUAAGUAGGAUAAUGGUUUGGGCAAAAAUUAAGCUUAAUUAUUUAAAUUAUAGAUUAAAUUUAUCGAUAAAUCAUGUUAAGCGUAAUGAUAAGAUAUAUUAUACUCUUAAGAAAAGAAUGUAGAUUCAAAUACUAGAAACGAUAUUGUUAGGAAAAGUAAUCACAAAUCUCAAACAUGAAUCAUAAAAUAAACAUAUAAAAUACUAAAAAAAAUCGAAUUUAAACUCAUUUAAAAUUGUUGAAACAUGGAUAAUUUAACUCAAUAUUGCAACAGGAAUUUCGAUAUAGUUUCUAUAAAAUUUAGUGUUACAAUAUGAUUUCCCAUAGAAGUGUGAUAAAAUCAAUAAUGUUGACUUGUAUUAUUGCAUUAAGUAGUGCAUGAAAUGUAGGAUUCUAUUGUAAAAGAGAAUUAGAUAAAAUUGUAUAAAGUGCAUACUAAAAACUGUUUUGGAGGCUUUAAAGAAUUCUAUUCGCUUAAAAGGUAAGAGUCUACUUCAUCAGCUAAGGUUUACAAUGUAGGGUAAGUGUUCAAUCGAAUUAAGUGAAAAAAUUUUGAGUUUAUCGAGUUGAUGAGUCCUAUUUUAUCAUACUAACUUGAUUUGAAAUUUUCUCGAAUCGAGUCGAGUAAAAUGAAAUUCAAGCCAAAUCAAAUCAAGUGAAAUUAUUUGAGUUAAAUUAAAAAAUUAAACAUGUCAAAUUAAAAUCUUGUUAUAGUAUAACUAAUUUUAUGUUAGAGCACAUAAAUUUGAAAUCACAUAUAUUUGAAAACUUUUUCAAAGUAAAAUAAGAAAAAAAAUAAUUUAAUAUAAUAAACUUAAAUUAUUAAUUAACUUUUAUUUAAGUCCCCAAAAUUAUUAUUUUAAAAAAAAUUAAAUUUUUAACUUUCUUUAUAUACUUUAUAAUUUUUUUAAAAAAAUAUAAAAUUUGGAAUUUUUAUAAAUAUUUUGAAUUUUAAAAAUUAUUAUGAAAAUUUUGAAAUUUAUUUUGUAUUUUUUGUUGAAAGAGAUCAAUUUGCUUUUUUUUUUAAAAUUAAUAGGGACCAAAAGGGGUAUUUAUACCAAUCUAUUAUUCGAGUUAUUCGAAUUGUAAAAUUCAACUUGACUUGAACUCAGAACUCGAAUUACUUAUUCGAUUUAAUUCGAAAAAAUUGAAUAAGAUUCAAUUAACUUAGAAUUCGAUUUUUAUUUUAUUUUUUUGAUCAAAUCGAGUUUUGUUCACCCCUAAUAACUUGUUAGCAACUUAUGCAAGAAUUUUUUAAUUUUAAAAUAAAAGCUAAUAAGAUUAUUUUAUCUUGAUAUUAAAUGCUAUUUAUACAACAUAUAAAAGAUGGUGGAUACACACAGUUGGGGUAGACUUUUUGAGUGUUUCAUUUUUCGGGUUGAGGGAAUAUUUUGCAAGGUAAAUACACCUUGAUACCCUAGGUAUUAUUUGGAGAAUUUUAUUCACUUGUAUGCAAAGAUGUUUGCAAUAUGUGAUAAUAUUUUGGGAGAUUGGAUGCAAACAAUUGCAUACUAGUGAAACUACUUUUUAUCUACAUUUUGCAAGAUAGAUACAUUAUAAUUAGAGGUGUCCAUAAGUCGGAUUGGAUCCAAUCAAAAUUUUAUACCCAUUUGUCAGGCUAAAAAUAUUAAAAUUCGAGUCCCAUCUGGCCCGUUCGUAUUAAUUUUUUUAUAUAAUUUUUUAAAAUAUAUAUAAUACAUCAACAAUACUAAAAACAUUAAAAUAAAUGUUAAAAACAUUAAAAUAAAUGUUCCCCAACAAAUUGAAAAUAAAUUUACAAAUUGAUUAAUAAAUUUUAAAAAAAUAUGUAUACUUAAAUAACACUAAGAUAUGUAUAACUUAACAAGCAAAUACCUCUAGAAUAGUAACAAAAUUAAAAAUAAAACAACAGUAAUACAAUAUCCAAAUAAUAACAAUAAAAUAGUAGCAAUAUAAUUGUGAAAUGGUAGCAAAAUAAUGAAAAAGAAGAAGAAAAAAAAGAAAAAAAUUACAAUUCUUUUAUUUUGCAUAUUCGGGUCGGCUAUUUUCUAAACGGACCUUAUUUUUCAGCCAAAAAAGUCUUACCUGAGGCUCAACCCGUUUUCUAAACAAGCCUUAUUUUUUUGCCUAAACACAUUUUUCGGGCCUAUAUUUUUAUCCAAACCCUCCCACUUUUCAGGUCGGGCCACAUGUACAGGUUUAACCAUGAUAUAUUAGGUAUUAUUAUAAACUACUAAAUACUAAAUAAAAAAUAACAUUUAAAAUUAAAAAAAUGAAAAGAAAAAAAAACUUAAAUGAAUAUAUACAAUGUAACAAGGUACAUAAACCUACAUUGUGACAAGUGUCGCAACUUUAUUUUUUUAUUUAAUUUCUAUAUUGUUUAUCUAUUAAAUAAAAUUAAAAUAAUUUAAACACAAUUUUAUCUUAAUGUAUUACAAAAUUUAAUUAAAAUAAAUGAAAAUUGUUAUUUGGAAUAUAUGGAUUUUAAAAAUAAUAAUAAUUUUCAUUUAAAUAAAUUUUACAAAUAAUAUAUAAUGCUGAUUAUAUAGUUUUAAAUAAUAUUUUAAUAUAUGAAUUGUUAUCUACAUAUUUAUUUAAAUAUAUUACAAGAAUUAAAACUAUUUAAUAACAUAUUCAUCAUAAAAUAAAACGAGAAUUAUAAAUUAUUAUUAUUAUUAUUUUAAAAUAUUUAUUUAAAUAAAACUAUAUGAGCAUAGGUUGUAACAUUCUACAUAUUUAUAUAGGUAAACCAUCAUGAUAAAAACUAUUAUCAUAAAAUUUUGCACUUUUUAUUAUAUGAUAUGUAUAAAAUAGUUCAAUUAGAUAUGAUUAAUAAUAAUAUUUAUGCUCAUAAAAUUAUCAAAUUAUAUAUUACAAUGUAUUUAUAAUGGCUCAAAUAUUAAAUAAUGGUUUACGGGUUGUAAUAUAUAAUAGUUCAAACAUAUUAUAAAUUUGAAAUAUAAUAUAUAUUAUAUUGAAUUAUUAUUAAUAGUAGAUAAUACUGUUAUAAUAAUUUAUAGUAGUAAAAGUAAAGGGUGAGCUAAC